CAGAGCUCUUUUGGCGGAAAUCUUCAAUAGCAGUUUUUCACUAGCCAUCUUAGGCCAAUGCUCAAAGGAGAAGUUCUUCAUAAAUGUGGGAUGGACUGCUCUGAUGGACUCUGCUGUUAGUCUACUUUGAGAGCAACAGAUCAUUCAUGGUUAAGCAUAGAUUUAAAGGCUUAGCUCAAGGAUAUAAAGGAAAAAAGUCGGCCGGGUGUGGUGGCUCACGACUGUAAUCUCAGCACUUUGAGAGGCUAAGGCGGGUGGAUCAGAAAGAAAGAAAGGAAGGAAGGAAGGAAGGAAGGAAGAGAAAGAAAGGGAAUGGGGAUUAGGGAUGUCUACAGCAAGGGACUACAUUAGCAUAUCUACUCAGUACAGAAAUGAAAUUGUCCUUUGUUUUCUAUUUUAGGUCAGAACUAAAGUAGGGUAGGUGGUGUGGUAAGUCAGCUUGGCUCACAGUCUAGUCUAGCCUGGAUUUAUUAGUGAUUGUGAUAAUAUUAUGUGUUCCAUCUGGCGCUGCCAUUCUUUUAUGUCUCAAAUGUUUCAGAAUUCAGAUGGGGAAAAGGUGUAUUGGGCUUUUAAAGCCCUCAUAAGAGAAUAUUUCAUACUAUCAGAAAAAGGUACCACUUCUUCAUAUCUACUUACAAACUAUCUAAUAGAAUUACUUGUGAGUCUGAAUUGCAGUAGCAAUUCUUCCACAUCAACUUUUAAAGAAAAAAAAAAAGAAAAGAAAAAAGAAAAAAAAAUCCCUUAUCAAACACUGCAGGCAACCUCAGGUACUUCAGAAUCAAGAGGCCAUGCUGAGUCAGUGUUUGGAGUUGGGAGAGUGGGCUUUUAAUUCAAUAAGUCAGAGAGGAAAGAAUGCAUAAGGAAAGAGGCCAAAGGGAUUUAUGGUAGAGAAGGAUAGAGCCAACGAAUGAGGGAAUCAGGAAUAUGGAGUGGGAAGCAUUAUGACAGAAGUCCAGAAUGAGACUGAUCUUAUUUACAUGCUUGAGAUGAGGACAAUAGCAAAAAUUGCUCUAACAGUGCAGGCUUUGGACUAUCUGGUAAUAUCUUGACCUCUGGAGGGGAUGGGGACAAAGGCUGGUCAUGCGGGAAGUCUACCAAAAUUUGUGACUGAUCAUCAAUAGAAGCUCUGGACACCAAGGCCUGGAUGAUCUUCAUUAGUUGGUAGUAUUCCAUGGGUGUCAUCACACAUCAAUGAGAAAAGAAAAAUCAUUGUUUUGCAUAACUUCACUGGGAGAAACUAGAAGUUGUCCUCCACCGAGAAGACCACCAGAAGCUCAUGCUCGAAAACCUCUUGGGUCCCACCCUGUGCACUCUCUCCUUGAAUGAUUUUAAUUGGUAUCCUUUCACUAUAAUAAACUGUCACCAUGAGUCUGACAGGUUUGGAGAGUUCUGUGAUUUCUUUAGCAAGUUACCAAACCUGGGGAUAAUUUUGGGAACCUCUGUACUUGUGGUUUGUGUCAGAAGUGAGGGUGCUGUCGGG
rnacentral:lncRNA from 1 species